CCAGUGCAGGCAGUGGACAGUGCGGAAAGGUUUGCAGGGCAGGGUGAUGCCACAGCAACUUACAACCCAACAAGCUGUCAGCAGUAUCCAUGCUAUCCUGCACCUCCUGGAUAUGUUGCAAGUGCCACUUCGCAAAUGCAACGGAGCAGCAACAGUGGUGGCUCUGAAUUUUCCGCUGUAAUAGCAAGUAGCAAGGGACAAGAACUGCCUCAACCCAACGCCACAAAUGAGACUGUGUUGCCCCCUGCGAUGGCUACUGUUAGCAAUAAGGUAGCAGAGUCACACCCUGCACCUCCAGUCCACAAUGCAUCUGCCAGCAUUCAGAUGAUUCACGGAAAUGUUG